rnacentral:rRNA from 1 species
AAUACAUCGGAACGUGCCUAGUAGUGGGGGAUAACUACUCGAAAGAGUGGCUAAUACCGCAUGAGAUCUACGGAUGAAAGCAGGGGAUCGCAAGACCUUGUGCUACUAGAGCGGCCGAUGGCAGAUUAGGUAGUUGGUGGGAUAAAAGCUUACCAAGCCGACGAUCUGUAGCUGGUCUGAGAGGACGAUCAGCCACACUGGGACUGAGACACGGCCCAGACUCCUACGGGAGGCAGCAGUGGGGAAUUUUGGACAAUGGGCGCAAGCCUGAUCCAGCAAUGCCGCGUGCAGGAUGAAGGCCUUCGGGUUGUAAACUGCUUUUGUACGGAACGAAAAGCCCUGGGUUAAUACCCUGGGGUCAUGACGGUACCGUAAGAAUAAGCACCGGCUAACUACGUGCCAGCAGCCGCGGUAAUACGUAGGGUGCGGGCGUUAAUCGGAAUUACUGGGCGUAAAGCGUGCGCAGGCGGUUUUGUAAGACAGAGGUGAAAUCCCCGGGCUCAACCUGGGAACUGCCUUUGUGACUGCAAGGCUAGAGUACGGCAGAGGGGGAUGGAAUUCCGCGUGUAGCAGUGAAAUGCGUAGAUAUGCGGAGG